UUUCCGUAGGUGAACCUGCGGAAGGAUCAUUGUAGGAUUGUUUUGGGAGGGGUGGUUGCGAUUUGUGGGGAUUGUGUGUGGUUGUUUGGAUUGCCUGGAUUGCCUGGCUGUCUGCAACUCGACUCGUCUCAUCACAACCACUCUUUACAUUGGCACAGACCAGUGGUCUGAUGUUUAGAGCACAGACUCAGUCUGAUGUUUGCGCUUGUUCGUUUGACAGAAACAGUACCAUAUCAUUGCAAAACUUUUAACAAUGGAUCUCUUGGCUCUU
rnacentral:misc_RNA from 1 species